GAAGGCAUCCGUGCCCGGCGGCACGGCCGGGCUUCAAACCCGGUUGGGGGCGUCAGACGUUCCCAGGUAGGUUCGACUCCUGCUGCCUUCC
rnacentral:tRNA from 2 species